GAUGAACGCUAGCGAUAGGCCUAACACAUGCAAGUCGAGGGGCAUCACAUGAAGUAGCAAUACGGAUGGUGGCGACCGGCGCACGGGUGAGUAACACGUAUGCAACCUGCCUUCAACAAGGGGAUAACCCGUUGAAAGACGGACUAAUACCCUAUAACACAGGGGUCCCGCAUGGGAAUAUUUGUUAAAGGACAACCGGUUGAAGAUGGGCAUGCGUUCCAUUAGCUAGUUGGCGGGGUAACGGCCCACCAAGGCAACGAUGGAUAGGGGAACUGAGAGGUUUAUCCCCCACACUGGUACUGAGACACGGACCAGACUCCUACGGGAGGCAGCAGUGAGGAAUAUUGGUCAAUGGACGCAAGUCUGAACCAGCCACGUCGCGUGAAGGAAGACGGCCCUACGGGUUGUAAACUUCUUUUGUAAGGGAAUAAAGUGUAGUACGCGUACUAUUUUGCAUGUACCUUACGAAUAAGGAUCGGCUAACUCCGUGCCAGCAGCCGCGGUAAGUACGCAGCGA
rnacentral:rRNA from 1 species